GGUCUCGUAGCUCAGCUGGUAGAGCGCGCUCUGUUCAAAACCGUAGGCGGCGUCCAUGCGUGGGUUCGAAUCCCACCGAGGCUA
rnacentral:tRNA from 1 species